rnacentral:rRNA from 1 species
AGUGAACGCUGGCGGUAGGCCUAACACAUGCAAGUCGAACGGCAGCACAGUAAGAGCUUGCUCUUACGGGUGGCGAGUGGCGGACGGGUGAGGAAUACAUCGGAAUCUACUUUUUCGUGGGGGAUAACGUAGGGAAACUUACGCUAAUACCGCAUACGACCUCCGGGUGAAAGCAGGGGAUCUUCGGACCUUGCGCGAUUGAAUGAGCCGAUGUCGGAGUAGCUAGUUGGCGGGGUAAAGGCCCACCACGGCGACGAUCCGUAGCUGGUCUGAGAGGAAGAUCAGCCACACGGGAACUGAGACACGGUCCAGACACCUACGGGAGGCAGCAGUGGGGAAUAUUGGACAAUGGGGGCAAGGCUGAUCCAGCCAUACCGCGUGGGUGAAGAAGGCCUUAUGGUGGUAAAGCCCUUUUGUUGGGAGAGAAAAGCAGCAGGUUAAUACCCCGCUGUUCUGACGGUACCCAAAGAAUAAGCACCGGCUAACUUCGUG